GGCUCGGUAGGCAACUGGCAGACCACACUGAAUUAGAAUCAGUGAUGCUGUGGGUUCGAAUCCCACUCGAGCUAC
rnacentral:tRNA from 1 species